GGGUCAGUAGGUUGGUCGUGCCACCGGUACGUACUGGUCUCACUGAUUCCUCCCUCCUGAAGAACCGUUAUGCCAUUAAUUUGGUGUUGCGGGGAAACAGGACUGUUACUUUGAAAAAAUUAGAGUGUUUAAAGCAAGCUAACGCUUGAAUACAUUAGCAUGGAAUAAUGAAAUAGGACGAUCGAUCCUAUUUUGUUGGUUUCUAGGAUUGACGUA
rnacentral:rRNA from 1 species